GACAGAGGGUGCAAACGUUGCUCGGAAUCACUGGGCGUAAAGGGCGUGUAGGCGGACUUGCAAGUCAGGCGUGAAAUCCCUGGGCUCAACCCAGGAAUUGCACUUGAAACUGCAAGCCUUUGAGUGUCGGAGAGGAAAGUGGAAUUCCUGGUGUAGAGGUGAAAUUCGUAGAUAUCAGGAGGAACACCGGUGGCGAAGGCGGCUUUCUGGAC
rnacentral:rRNA from 1 species